CUCCCAGGAUCCCCGGGGAGGGGGUUGUGGCGUCCCUCGGUCUGUCGCGCCAGCGCCUCGCUCAGAUCCCGGUGGCGGGGCGGCCAUGGCGUCGGGAUGCCGGAUCGGCCCGUCCAUCCUCAACAGCGACCUGGCGGCGCUGGGCGCCGAGUGCGGCCGCAUGCUGGACUCCGGGGCGGACUACCUGCACCUGGACGUGAUGGACGGGCACUUUGUUCCGAACAUCACAUUUGGACACCCUGUAGUAGAGAGCCUUCGAAAGCAGCUGGGUCAGGAUCCUUUCUUUGAUAUGCACAUGAUGGUUGCCAAGCCGGAGCAGUGGGUGAAACCAAUGGCUGUAGCAGGUGCAAACCAGUACACUUUUCACCUAGAGGCUACAGACAAUCCAGGGGCACUGAUUAAAGACAUUCGGGAAAAUGGGAUGAAGGUUGGCUUGGCCAUCAAACCUGGAACUGUAGUUGAAUAUUUAGCACCAUGGGCCAAUCAGAUAGACAUGGCUUUGGUGAUGACAGUAGAACCUGGAUUUGGAGGGCAGAAGUUCAUGGAAAACAUGAUGCCAAAGGCAGGAGCAAACAUGAUUGUGUCUGGCAGUGCUAUUAUGAAAAGUGAAGAUCCUAGAUCUGUCAUCAACCUCCUGAGGAAUGUGUGUUCAGAAGCUGCUCAGAAACGUUCCCUGGACCGAUGAGAGCGUCUACUCAUUCCAAGGCAGCUUGGGUGUGAACGGGUUCUAUUCCAGUAUGGAAACAUUGCUGCUGAACCAGGACUGCAGCACUGAAGAAUUGCUCCUUCACUGCAAGCAGUGGUUUUGCCAGGGCUGGAAAUACAAUCAGCCAGUGCUAUCCCUUAAAUUGACUUAUUUUAUAGCAGAUAACAGGUAUUGGAUGGAAACAAAAUUGUGAGUUUUUGCUUGAAAGGUGUGGAAGACUAAGAGUCUGCUCUGUGCAUUCCUACAAAACUAUGUCAAUGUUUGAAAUAAAACACUGGUGAUAAGUCAUCUUACAACUAGCAAAACUCAUCUGUUAGCUGUUUAUGUGCACUCCAGGAUGAACCAGUCUUCCCCAAGAAAGAACAUCUUUCCAGAAAUAAGUUCAUUAACUUAGACAGGUAUGUACACCCCAAUAAAGUUAUGGAACGAUAUUUCAGUCUCACAGCAGUGGGAAAUAAAAAGUUUGAAAAAUUAAGUCUCUUGGCCUAGUUUUCACAGGCGGUAUCCUUAUGACUAGCUAGUGAAAACUUUCCAAGAUAAAUGAUCUGAAGGUACAGUUGUUAUAUUAGACAUUGAUUCCUGAAGUUUUUACAACAAGCUUCAUUGUAGAAGAGUGGAUUUUGUCACCAGCAGUGAAUAAUAACUUGCCUGCUAUUGUGGGUUAACAAAAUUUUAAUUAUUGCACAGUGAGCAGCAGGGUAUUGUCUCUCAUUUAUACAAAACCACAUGGGGAUCCUAAGCCAGGUCUUUUGCAUUCUAGUUAUUCAGAUGACUAAUCAUGGAUUGCCUGAAGGAUACUACAUUUACCUAUGUCUGGAAGACCAAGCAGCUACUUCAGCUGUUGCCUGUGUAUAAAAUGUAAUAACCAGCAUCCUUGACUUACAGAAGGGCCAGUAGAGAGGAAGUAGGAUAAUUUAGAUGCACAGGGUGAAUCUGCUUCAGCUGUUCAGUUUCUAAGCAACGAUAGUCGAGAGAGGUAGGACUGGUUCAAGAAUUCCUCUAGCUAGUCUCUCUGAAAAACCAUGUUGGAGAUGUAUGUACAAAAAAGCCAAAGCCCCCCUUUAGUGCUGCAUAAAGAAAGUUAUUAGAGGGAACAUUUUUGCACAAUCCUUCCCAGUACCCCAAUUCAAAUGAGAUACUACAGGUGUGGGGGCAGCUUGUGUAAACAUAGCCACUCUAGCUCCCUCAGUAAAAGCAGAUGUGAGGAUGCCACAAAAGUACCCAGGGGCUCAGACAGGCUUGUGAAGCCAGGGCCAAGGCAUCCUCAAUGCUGUUAGUAAGCCAGCUAGAGUUUAAACAGAACCAAGUCAGGGAUAACUGUCAGUAUUGGAUCAUUUGCUCAAACUUGCUGUUCAGCACUUUUCCAAAUAGAGUAUAACUAGCUGCCAUCACACAGUACCCCCAAAACUAUCAGAGAGAAUGUAUAACUGCAGGCAGUCCCGUGUUGUCAUUUAACACCCUUUCAGUUAAAAAAAUACUAUGCUUUGUCCCAAGGAGAAAUAUGUAAUUGAAUCCCUUGUCAGGUCCUAGAUUAGAGCAGUUUGGGGUCCACACCAUUUUUUGUCAACAGGCUUGAGCAGGUGUAAACUGCCAGUCUAGGGCUGCACUUCAGGGGGGAAAACAUACAUGCAGGAAAACUACCUCACCUCCCCAGCAAAGUGGCUGGCUAAUUGUUCCUACUGUAGCACCCCCCCUUUAUAAGUGUGACCUCUUCACUUCCACAGCCUCUUAUUACAGAUAAGGUUAAGGGAAAUGCUAUUAGUCACCAUGGAGAUUGUAAUUAAGCAUAUGCUGAAGUAGGAUUCUUCUGUUACACCUUAAAAAUUGCUCAUUUGCUCACUAUUAGCAAACAAAUAAAAAUGACAAUUUUUUGUCCCAGCAUGUCUUCCUGCUCUUAAAAAUAAGUGAUGUAUAUAUGCUUAUGCACAGAAAACAGCAGCUACACCUCAUCCAUGAAAGUACAUAUUGAACAUGGAAACACUCAGUUUGAUCAGGCAUCCAAAUGGAAAAAGUAUUUCCACAUUAAAACUAACCACACAGGAUCUACAUCACUCAGUCAUGGGUCAAUGAAUAGAGAAGUUUGACUCAAACUUUCAUGCCUAAAUCAGAUGUCCAGACACUCUGCCCAUCAGUCUCGUACCAUUCAAUCUGCCAGACCCCCAGUGAGGAACAUAAUUAGUUGUACUUUUCUAUAACCUCUGUCUUGUGAUUCUUUAAGUGGAUGAAUUCAUGAUGUAAAUACAUUUUCAACAGUAAGUGCAGGGAUAUCACUGGGACUAAAAUGAAAGCCAGUUGAGAAUUAUUUGUCUCAAAACAGGCAAAGUUCCAAAUGGAGAGCCAACAAAGCCAUCUAGACUGUAGUGCCAAAGCAAACUUUUGUGCAUUACUGGAGGUCGAAGAGGUAACUGAUAUUCUGUAACAAGGGAAGGGGCCAGGGUGCCCACUAUCAUCAAUGGAGGAAAAUAUAUAUGACUCCAGAUGUCCAAUUCAAUCCUUAUUUGGAUGUGGGGUCCUCCAAAGGACAGUUCUGUAAGCAAGCUAGCAUGCACCCAAAUAGGGUGAGAAACUAUACUGAAAAUAUGCUCUGCUCACCACAUCUGAGGACUUUCUGCCCUUUCCAUGCUUUGAUGAACGUCGUGGAUCUGAAGGAGGAUGUGAAACCUCUUGCAACAGGGCCAGGGAAGGAGAUAUGGAGACCUGAAAAAAUGCCUUUGAUCCAAAAUGGAUCCUGGAUGAUUCAGACUUCAUUACUAAGUCAGUGUUCCUCACCUGUAGUUCUCCUGAGUCCUGCAUGCAGGGAGUUCAUGUGACUGAUGCCCAGAUCCCAGGAUUGCGCCUCACACUGCCAAAUAGAUCAGACAAGAACAGGAGGCACUGAACAAUCUAUACAGUUGUAUGAUGGGAGCUAUGAGGAUCUGAGCUGCUCCUAUCUUCACUUUGAAGGAGCAGGGGAAUGGAGAAGAAAAGAGCCUCACUCCACACUGCUCUCCAGCUCACAUUCCCAGCAGCAUCCAGAAGACGAGGGAGAGAGAAAUGAGAAAUACCCCAUUCCACUCAGAAACUAGGAAGAAGGGAUAAUAGAGGGGGAAGCAACAGUCUCACAGCCAGUUACUUAUCCAGUGCGUCAUCAUCAUGUAUUAAUGCAACAUUAACAAAUGCAACAGCAAGGCUUUGUACCAUUACUACUUUGUGGCUCCCACAAAGCCAUUAAAAGACCAUGCAGGUCUUCAGCUCUUAAAAGGUACAUACCACUGAUUUGAUGUUACAGACCUGUGAAAGGAAUUUAAGUACUUCUAUUGCUAAUCAAAUCCAGACUAUACACAUUGUAUGGAAAUAACUUUUAAUUUAAAAAAACUUGCAUUGAAGAUUAUUGUAUCAGACAGAGGCAAAAUUUGAGUUUAAUUUGCUGGACAAAUCAGUGUUAAAAAAAGAUUUAAAAUAAAUCAGAAUGUGCAAUAAACUACAACGUAGCAUAGGCAGUAGUGUUGAAACUUGACUGAACUUUUUUCUGAGGUCCAGCGUAUAUUUCCAGUCAGUCAAUCUGACAGGAAAAAAAUUAAGUGACACUACAAACGGGUCAUCUGUCAGUAUUGGAUAUUACAAGCUGAGGAAAAAUGUUGUACAAGAACAGAGACUCCUAUAUAGAUGCCUUCAACUGUUGUACACAGAAAAACUUCCUGCUGACAGUGGUUUAAACAUACGUUCUACUGGUGUCGAAUUAUUGUUCUGCUACAAGAGUACUGCUAGAUCAUUAAUUCUUGUAUGCGUCAUCUUCUGUUAGCAUCACUUGAGGAUGCAGACAAAUUCUAAAUACUGUAAUUCAGAAUGUAUGAGUUUAAACAAACAAUUUGCCUUUAUUUUCUUAGAGUAUAAUGGCUGGGAAUUUAAAAGUCAAUCUGUAUUUAGAAACAUUAUGAAAGGUUUUUUAAAGCCCUUCUGAUGUCCUUAUUAACAAUGUUUUCCCUUCUGGUUAAUCACUCUGCUUUUGCAUACUUGGCAGAACCUUGCAAGGUAUCACUUAGAAAUCGUAACAACUACACUUGGUAAGAUAUUACAGCACACAGUUCUAAGUAGCAUUAGCUACUGCAGGUCUAGGAGUCAGGUCUCCAAGUAUCUGAUGAUCCAAAAUGAAUUCAGAGCUGCAUCUUCAUUUAAUUCAAUCUUCAUUUCCUCACCACUCCUAGGCUUCUCUGCUCCUCAUGUGACUGAAAUAGAAAACUGUCUACCUUUCGUAUAGUAGAGAAAUCAACUAUGGAAAUAAAUAUAGUGGUAUAUUUGUGUGUUAGUGUUUGAGGAUUUCUGCAUGAAACUAACAAUAGAGUUGAAUGACUGACUCAUUUUAAGCCAAAUAUAAGGCUUCUGAAAGAGUCAUUUAAAAACGACUAGUACUUAAAUAUUAAAGGGAUUUCAGACAAGGCAGGUAUUUGCCACAUGCUCAUGCCACCAAAGGAAACCAUUUGAAAUUACCCCCUUCUCCUCACUGUCUUUUCAAGUAGUUUUUCUGUGUUUUGAAGUUGUUUGUUUAAAGGAGUAAAGUGUGUUCUGCUGUCCCAGAAUCCAUCAGAACCAUAAACACAUUUGAAAGAAAAAAAGGAAGAAUAUUAAAGAACAUGGCAAUAUGACAACAGAAAGCAGUAAACUGUGCCAGCUAUUUAGGUGUGCCCACUUUCAACACGGAAUACUAGAUUUCCAGCUUGAAAUAAUUAGUUUCUCUUGUGGUUCUGGAAGAAGAAAGUGUUGCAUUUGGGAUUUUAUCCUGCCUGUUACAAAGCAAGAAAGAAAAUAUAUUAUAUGCUGCUAAUG